CUACGGGGCGCUGCAGUGGGGAAUAUUGCACAAUGGGCGCAAGCCUGAUGCAGCAACGCCGCGUGAACGAUGAAGGCCUUCGGGUUGUAAAGUUCUUUUCUUAGGGAAGAAUAAAUGACGGUACCUAAGGAAUCAGCCCCGGCUAACUACGUGCCAGCAGCCGCGGUAAUACGUAGGGGGCAAGCGUUAUCCGGAAUCACUGGGCGUAAGGGGAGUGUAGGCGGUCAAGCAAGUCAGGGGUGAAAGGCAUCGGCUCAACCGAUGUAAGCCUUUGAAACUGUUUGACUUGAGUGCAGGAGAGGUAAGUGGAAUUCCUAGUGUAGCGGUGAUAUGCGUAGAUAUUAGGAGGAACACCAGUGGCGAAGGCGACUUACUGGACUGUAACUGACGCUGAGGCUCGAAAGCGUGGGGAGCGAACAGGAUUAGAUACCCCCGUAGUC
rnacentral:rRNA from 1 species